rnacentral:rRNA from 1 species
GAUGAACGCUGGCGGCGUGCCUAAUACAUGCAAGUCGAGCGAACAGACGAGGAGCUUGCUCCUUUGACGUUAGCGGCGGACGGGUGAGUAACACGUGGGUAACCUACCUAUAAGACUGGGAUAACUUCGGGAAACCGGAGCUAAUACCGGAUAAUAUUUCGAACCGCAUGGUUCGAUAGUGAAAGAUGGCUUUGCUAUCACUUAUAGAUGGACCUGCGCCGUAUUAGCUAGUUGGUAAGGUAACGGCUUACCAAGGCAACGAUACGUAGCCGACCUGAGAGGGGGAUCGGCCACCCUGGAACUGAGACACGGUCCAGACUCCUACGGGAGGCAGCAGUAGGGAAUCUUCCGCAAUGGGCGAAAGCCUGACGGAGCAACGCCGCGUGAGUGAUGAAGGUCUUCGGAUCGUAAAACUCUGUUAUUAGGGAAGAAUAAACGUGUAAGUAACUGUGCACGUCUUGACGGUACCUAAUCAGAAAGCCACGGCUAACUACGUG